rnacentral:rRNA from 1 species
AACGUAGGUGGCGAGCGUUAUCCGGAUUUACUGGGCGUAAAGGGUGUGCAGGCUGCCCCUCAAGUGGUGUAUGAAAGGGCUCGGCUCAACCGGGCUAGGUUAUGCCAGACUGAGGGGCUAGAGAGCGAGAGCGGGACGUGGAAUUCCGGGUGUAGUGGUGAAAUGCGUAGAGAUCCGGAGGAACCCCAGAGGCGAAGGCGGCGUUCUGGACUGCAACUGACACUGAUAAACGAAAGCCAGGGUAGCAAACGGG